GAAUCUCUUCAGGGCGGGGUGCAAGUCCCCACCGGUGGUAAAGCCCACGAACCUCAUCAUAGAGGUAGGUCUGGUGAAAUUCCAGAGCCGACGGUAUAGUCCGGAUGAAAGAAGAGUGGA
rfam:Dialister succinatiphilus YIT 11850 genomic scaffold supercont1.1, whole genome shotgun sequence.